AGUGAACGCUGGCGGUAGGCCUAACACAUGCAAGUCGAACGGCAGCACAGUAAGAGCUUGCUCUUACGGGUGGCGAGUGGCGGACGGGUGAGGAAUACAUCGGAAUCUACUUUUUCGUGGGGGAUAACGUAGGGAAACUUACGCUAAUACCGCAUACGACCUACGGGUGAAAGCAGGGGAUCUUCGGACCUUGCGCGAUUGAAUGAGCCGAUGUCGGAUUAGCUAGUUGGCGGGGUAAAGGCCCACCAAGGCGACGAUCCGUAGCUGGUCUGAGAGGAUGAUCAGCCACACUGGAACUGAGACACGGUCCAGACUCCUACGGGAGUCAGCAGUGGGGAAUAUUGGACAAUGGGCGCAAGCCUGAUCCAGCCAUACCGCGUGGGUGAAGAAGGCCUUCGGGUUGUAAAGCCCUUUUGUUGGGAACGAAAAGCAGCAGGUUAAUACCCCGCUGUUCUGACGGUACCCAAAGAAUAAGCACCGGCUAACUUCGUG
rnacentral:rRNA from 1 species